rnacentral:rRNA from 1 species
UACAGAGGGUGCAAGCGUUGUUCGGAAUCAUUGGGCGUAAAGCGCACGUAGGCGGCUUUGCAAGUCGGGUGUGAAAGCCUGGGGCUCAACCCCAGAAGUGCAUUCGAAACUGCAGAGCUUGAGUCUUGGAGAGGGCAGUGGAAUUCCGAGUGUAGAGGUGAAAUUCGUAGAUAUUCGGAGGAACACCAGCGGCGAAGGCGACUGCCUGGACAAAGACUGACGCUGAGGUGCGAAAGCGUGGGGAGCAAACAGG